rnacentral:sRNA from 1 species
CCCACAAGCCUGAAGACUGAAAACUUUAAUUUAUCCACACAAAGGGCCUGAUUCUCAUUUACACCAAAACCCAUUUAAACUACCAAAGGAGCAUUAAAGUAGAUGAAAACUUAAUUUAUGCCUAUUUAUUGCUAGAGGUGAGAUGGGAAUUCAGUCUCCACGCCCAGUCAAUCCUUGGCCUCU